rnacentral:rRNA from 1 species
AUUGAACGCUGGCGGCACGCUUUACACAUGCAAGUCGAACGGCAGCGCGGGCUUCGGCCUGGCGGCGAGUGGCGAACGGGUGAGUAAUGCAUCGGAACGUGCCCAGUAGUGGGGGAUAGCCCGGCGAAAGCCGGAUUAAUACCGCAUACGACCUGAGGGUGAAAGCGGGGGACCGAAAGGCCUCGCGCUAUUGGAGCGGCCGAUGUCGGAUUAGCUAGUUGGUGGGGUAAAGGCUUACCAAGGCGACGAUCCGUAGCUGGUCUGAGAGGACGACCAGCCACACUGGGACUGAGACACGGCCCAGACUCCUACGGGAGGCAGCAGUGGGGAAUUUUGGUCAAUGGGGGCAACCCUGAUCCAGCCAUGCCGCGUGCGGGAAGAAGGCCUUCGGGUUGUAAACCGCUUUUGUUCGGGAAGAAAUCCUCUGGGCUAAUACCCCGGGGGGAUGACGGUACCGGAAGAAUAAGCACCGGCUAACUACGUG